rnacentral:lncRNA from 1 species
CGGGGGAUUGGAUUUAUUCAGAUUUCCAAUUCCUCCUUUCUUUCUAACAUCCUCUCCCUAUUGUCCAAUUAGUCUCUUCCUUCUCUUGUUAGGAUAAGUCCAAAAAUAGAAAAGACAAGUCUGAUUUUAGGACAAGAGUCUAAGAAGAGAAUUAAGGAAGACAAGGAGAGAAGAAAGGUAGGGAUAAGAAGGCUAGGAG